UUCAGGCGCCAGUGCACUUGUAGUAAAUCAGUUGCGGAUUGAUGGCUGUUGUCACGACAUUGAGGUCAACGGUACCGGCAUCACCAGAAUUCUUUUCUUCACCAUCGUAAUCCCAAAUACAAGCUUUACUCUGUUUCAUUUUAUUUUAUCUUAUUUAUUUAUUUAUAUUACAUCAUGAUUUAUAAGCAUUAAACUCGCCAAGGAAUAAGACACGCGUGCGUUCUACGAAGAAUCUUAGGUACUCAAGAAAAACGCGAAACAGACGAUACUCUAGUGAUUUCCUUUGUCACGAUACAAUAUUAUUGCGCGCUGGAAGAUAGUCUACUGCUUGCUCGAGGAUGGCAUUUUAACUGAGCACGCAAAUAAUAUUUUACAGGGCCAAUGUCUUCGUGAUCCGUGACAGCCUUGACCUUGCUGAUAAGUAACACUGCUUUAAAUGAUCAAAUAAGAUUUGAUGUUUAUAAAAAUAUGAUGAGCUAAACGUAGCAACAGGGUGAAUAAUCUAGGAAAUAUAAAUACAGAAAGGAACCAUUGGUAUGUAAAACCGGAUGGAUUAUUUCCCAUUAUAAAUUGCUGGUACCAGGCCCUACGUGGCACACGCUACUGCCAGUAAGAAAACGGCUGUACGGUUAAUUAGUAGUCUUAUCUGAAAAUAACUUUGCUCUGAAAGUCAUCUGCAUUUUCUCAUCUUGUAGCUUUUGGAUGAUGCAACUGCUUGCGUGACGAAACAGGAUGAACGACCUCUGUUCUUCACUCACUUAAAAUGAGCUUAAGAAAAGAAGAAGAAUAGCCCACAAUAAUGGAAAGAGAGUACAAAGAAAAUCAAAUUUAGAAUAACCGUAGAGGA
rnacentral:lncRNA from 1 species